rnacentral:lncRNA from 10 species
AUCAGGUGUGGGCAUGUGCUCUCAUCUAUAUCUUCUCAUCAGAGGGUACUGUUUUUCCCACUUCUUUCAAGAAAAAAGGUAGUAACCAGACUUAGGCAAUCCUUCAUGUAGUAAGGAGAAAGAAAUGGAACACAAUUCUCCGUCAGGAAUUCUGGCUUUACUCUGACAAUUUUACAAUUUCACAUUAGUGACUCCUGCAGCAAAUGCAUGUAUUUAUGUUCAGAUUAAACUGAUACAGGGGAGACGAUGACUAGAGCCAGCAUUUCCUGAGCUGUAAAUGGAGGAUAUGCCAUAAUGAAUUUCAGGUUCCAUGAAGCUUUUGCGUAAAUAAAUUCAUGACACUAAGAAUUGGGGAAUAAACAUUUUAGAGGACAGUCGCAUUCUAAAUGAGAAUUGCUAAGAGUGGGAGGCCCCUGUCAUUUAUUGGAUUAGUUAUGGAACUGUACAUGAGCCUGCAAUAUUUGUUCUGCUGCUGUGGUGUGACCGGUGAAAUGAAAAGAUGCGUCUGGGGAGUGCUCAGUAAAUGUUCCUCUUCUUUCUGCCAUUGUUUUUAUAGCUCUGGGAGGAAUCUGCCACUCAGAGUUAGAAAUUAAUAUCAUACUUGUAUGAGAAACAAAAGUGAAGAUACGAGAUGGAGACGUUUUGGCCUCAGAACAGUAACUCCACUGAUUGAGUUAAAUGUGUUUAACUCAGGCAGAAAGACGUGCUACCUGUGUGACACCAUCAUAGCUCCCAGCAGCCAACAGGAACACGUGCAGCCACUAAGCUGGAGGGAGAACGCCUGGUAAACCAGAUGUCCCUAGCUCUCGAGUCUGUGUGUUUUAAAUGUCUUGGAAUUAUUUGUGGAUAUUGACAGAUUGAAAUUCAUAGAUCUCCAGCUCACAGAUAGCGUGGGAUAUUUCCAAAUUCCCCAAGUUAAUUUGUAGCUGAAAAUGGAAUUUCAGUCUCUUACACUGUAUGGUUGGAAAACUAUUUAGUGAAUCCAUAUGUGUUCCUGGGGGGCAUUUUGAGGACAUUUGCUGAGAUUGACAAAUAUUUCCAGUAUUGUGUCUCUCCAUACCCACAAUAGCAUUAAGUGGAGGCGUCUGGGAUUGAGCCAUCACACAUCUAUCUAACCACAUUCGCUCAAAUGUGAUGGGCCAAGGCCUUCAGACAUGACCAGGUAACUAUAGGUUGAAUUUAAAUCAGUACUUUGCCUAAGAGAGAUGAAGAGAAAAAUGCACACAGGUAAUUGACUCAACUAACAUACUAUGAAUCUAGGAGGAACAAACAAUAGAAAUUGGGACUUUUAAUGUUUUAUUUUAAAGCAGAAAACAGGUCAUGUGGGCUACACUCAAAACACAGAGAGGGCCCCUCCUUCCCGUCGUCAGGGCAGCCACACCCUCUCCCCUCCAGGCACCAGGCUCUUCCUGUGUUCUCUAAUGUCUGGUAGGGCAGGACUCUUGAACCCCAUCUACACAGCAGCAGGGGCUUGGGAUUCAUUGUUCGUUUUUUGCUUCUAAGAAAAGAGCACAUUCAGGGUAUAUGGAAAAGUAAAAUAGAUAAUAUUUUUUCUGAGUAGCAUAAUACGUGCUCUCAUGAUCUUUGGGGCUGAAAAGAAAGGUACCAGCCUGCUGUCUCUCCUGCUGUGGCAGAACCUGCAACCUCCAGUUGAGAAGUCCAAGUCUUUGGAUGGAGGGGCUUCCUUCGGCCUGAGUUCCUGAGACAGAACAACGGGAAACAGAUCCUGUGACCUCUCACAUUGUGACAAUGCCAAAUCAACUGUGUUGUUUUAAGUCUUGGAAAAUUUGGGGUUGUUACCUUAGCAAAAUCCAGCUUUUUUGGAAUAGCCCCAAAUCUGAAGUUUCUUAUAAACAAAAGGGAAGCAACGUUAGGUCCCUACCGUAUAAAGUUAUUGGGAGAAUCAUACACAACACCACACUGGAAAUCAUCAUCAUAAAAUCUUGCAAUUGUGAUAAAUUUGUAUCUUGUUUAAUUUAUUAUCAUUAGGAAAGGCAGAAAAAGAACAUUGUGUAUUCUGGAAAUGCUGGGUCAUCCUGGGUGACUGGAGCAGGCUGCACGGGGAGGAAGGAUGGGUGAUGUGUCUGGUGGUGGGAGCCUGCCUGUGGAGGGCCACUGGGCUCCAGCUAAGCUAUUGGCCUUUAUUCAGUAGAUCCUUGGAGCUAUAAAGCAUUUUCAAGUGUUGAAGCAAACUAAACAUGGCCUGAGAAAGACUCCGUACUUCUAUAAUUAAGUCCUUGUGGAUAAACUGCAACCCGACUUAAUAGGUAGACAGGACUGAAAACCUAACUGAGCAGUAUGCGCCUUUAACAAUCGCUGAGUCUUGGUCAAUCCCAGAGGCCAUACUUCAACCAGUCAUAUACUGCUGAGUGUUCAAACUGUGUUCAAAUAAGGCAAACGUCCAGCUGUUACCAAUCCAGCUGUUUGGUACCUCACUUCCAAUUUCUGUAUAUCACUUUACUAUUUUGGUCUAUAAAUUUGUUCUCAUCACGAGGCACAUCUGGAGGCACCUCUCUGAAUGUGCUGAUUCUGGGGGCUGCCCAAUUCACAAAUCAUUCAUUGCUCAAUUGAAGUCCUUUAAAUUUAAUGUGGCUGAAGUUUUUCUUUUAACACAAGUAAUGAGUGACACAUGUUGGUGAUUGGAUAGAUAUCCAUUAAGACUGGUAGAAUGGAAUGAAGUAGAGCCUAGAAACAGGAAAUUGUGCCACCAUUUCUCCAGCCAGGCUGAGUGGGCAGGAAUGUCUGUGGACACCAUAUUGCUGGCCCAGUGACUGGAAGCUCAGGAUGUCCCGGAGGCUCUGGCACCUCCCAACUGCACCAGCCAAUGCAGCCAGCACUCCUGUCACCGUGCAUACCACACACUCGUUUGGACACAUCUAUG